rnacentral:rRNA from 1 species
UCGUACCCGUUACUUGGAAACUGUGGUAAUUCUAGAGCUAAUACAUGCCGACAGAGUUCCGACCAACUGUACGGAUUUGGCGGCAGUUUCGGCUGUCGUCGCCGUACGGUUCGGAAGGAACGCUUUUAUUAGAUCAAAACCGGCUAAACGGCGGUUUCGCUUUCGGGCGUCUCCGUCGUAAGCGGCCCGCGCAAAGAUUUGGUGACUCUGAAUAACUUCGAGCUGAUCGCACGGUCUUUGUACCGGCGACGUAUCUUUCAAAUGUCUGCCUUAUCAACUGUCGACGGUAGGUUCGACGCCUACCGUGGUGGUAACGGGUAACGGGGAAUCAGGGUUCGAUUCCGGAGAGGGAGCCUGAGAAACGGCUACCACAUCCAAGGAAGGCAGCAGGCGCGCAAAUUACCCACUCCCAGCUCGGGGAGGUAGUGACGAAAAAUAACGAUACGGGACUCAUUCGAGGCCCCGUAA